AAGUCGUAACAAGGUUUCCGUAGGUGAACCUGCGGAAGGAUCAUUACCAUGGCGCAGAAGGUGGUGGAACAUACUGGGUAACCCCAGGAGUUAAUCCCUUCACGCUCUUCUACCCUUGUCUAUUUGCACCUUUGUCGUUCCCUCGGCGGGGUAAAGCCCGCCGGCGGGAAGCUCGAAAAACCCUUUGCAAUCAGCAUCCAAAAACUCUGAUUACAAAACCUUAAAUCGUUACAACUUUCAACAAUGGAUCUCUUGGUUCUG
rnacentral:misc_RNA from 1 species